ACGCAGAAGGAAAAAGCAGAGGGAGGAAGAAGAGGGAGAAGAGGACGGUGAUGGAAUCAACAAACUCUUUGUUCUUCUUCUUUUUCUUUGUUUUUCGUUCUUUUGUUUUCUUUCUUUUCGUUCGUUCUUUUUUUCUCUCUGUCUCCUUUCUCUCGCGUUUAAAAAAAAAAAAA
rnacentral:RNase_P_RNA from 14 species